UUCCCACCUGCUGGAUACGUCAGUGCCCUGCCCACCUCCCCAGCGCCCGGAAGUUACUGGCAGCCCCGCCUCGCGCGUGCGCACAGCCUGUGAGCCACGUUGGCUGUCGGUGACGGACUCUGAGACUGAGAAAAGGAAGCAGAAGAGAAAGUGCCCAGAUUCCAAGAUUCCAAUGAAAGGAUUAGGUUCACCACUAAUUAGCUGAUGACCUUGGGUGAAUUACACACAAUUGCUGCCGCUCACCAUCUACGAUGGAAAUGCUUAACAUCCACCUCCCCAGAAUAACACAGAACUUAAAUAAAUACCAGAAGAAUUUUGGAAACCUUAAAGUACAACACAGAUUUUAACUAAUUUUUAUUUACAUAGUUAAUUACCAUGUGCUGUCCAGCACCCUAGCCAUAUGGGACUUCUGAACACUUGAAAUGUGGCUAGUCCAAAAUGAGAUGUGCUGUAAUUGUAAAAUACAGGAUUGCAAAAUAAGCUAACAAACAGAGACCAGCUUUGAAAACUCCCUGAGAGGACAAAACCAGUCUAGUCAAACAAACAAGGCUUAAUUUAGCUUAUUUUGCAAGGCUAACUUGACCUGGGUCAUUUCUUGCUUUUUCCUCUAGAAAUCAUAAGCAAAACUUAAACUGUUUCCCAAGGUUCAUAAGAAGUAACCACUGACCAGUUCCCUAUCAUUUAAGAAAAUUUUAAUGUUACAACAGCAGAGGCCACUUGUAGGCAAACAGGCUUGAGCAAUGGAAUGUAGAAAAGGCCCACAAGGGCUCCCUGGCUGAGUACAGACAGGCGCAUCGGGCCACCCACCUCAAAAUAUCCAUAGGCCCUAAUUGACCAAUGGGCUACUUACAACCAGGUAUAGUUACCAAAAAAGGGAGAAUUCCCUACGUGGCCGUACCUCCUCUUCCCCCUUUAAAAACAGCCCCCACCCACUGCCUUGUUGUCCACAGCUUCUCCUUUGCUGUUUUGCCUGCUUCUCCCUUGUGGUGUAUUCAAUAACCUGUUUCCUUUGUUCUGCUGAAGGUGAAUUCUUUCACCUCCCAAGCCAGCAGCUUCCACCUGAUCUUUGCCCCACAUUUUGGAGGCCCCAUCUAUCAAGACAGAUAUCCCAUUUAGACACCAUAAAUAACCAAUCACAGUAAAGAAUAAACAGUCACUGUUUUGUCACUAAAUAAGCUGUUUUAUAACAAUAUGUGACAACAGUGAACCUCAUUCCAUGUUUUGGUUUGAGUGCUCCUAGUUUGCAAACCCUUUAUUUUGGAGUGUGCACAGUAAACUUUUACUACUUCAAUGA